rnacentral:rRNA from 1 species
AAUCAACGCUGGCGGCGUGCCUCAGACAUGCAAGUCGAACGAUUAAACUUCCCUUCGGGGAAGAUAUAAAGUGGCGCACGGGUGAGUAACACGUAGGUAAUGUACCUUUGGGUGGGGAAUAACUUAGGGAAACUUAAGCUAAUACCGCAUAAUGCAGCGGCUCCUUCGGGAGACAGUUGUUAAAGAUUUAUCGCCUAAAGAGCAGCCUGCGGCAGAUUAGCUAGUUGGUAAGGUAACGGCUUACCAAGGCUACGAUCUGUAUCCGACCUGAGAGGGUGGUCGGACACACUGACACUGAAUAACGGGUCAGACUCCUACGGGAGGCAGCAGUCGGGAAUUUUGGGCAAUGGGCGAAAGCCUGACCCAGCAACGCCGCGUGAAGGAUGAAGUCUUUCGGGAUGUAAACUUCGUAAGAAUAGGAAGAAUAAAGGACGGUACUAUUUGUAAGGUCCGGCUAACUACGUG